UUGUUAGUUCAUGUCUGUAAACUGACAACAAAAAGAAAGGUAAUUUUACCAUUUUAGCUUUAGAGUUUAAAGACAUGAAUUAACA